rnacentral:rRNA from 1 species
CCCUGACGCAGCGACGCCGCGUGGAUGAUGAAGGCCUUCGGGUCGUAAAAUCCUGUCAGAUGGAAAGAAGUGUAUAGAUGUUAAUACCAUUUAUAUUUGACGGUACCAUCAAAGGAAGCACCGGCUAACUCCGUGCCAGCAGCCGCGGUAAUACAGGAGGGUGCAAGCGUUGUUCGGAAUUACUGGGCGUAAAGCGCGCGUAGGCGGUUUUAUAAGUCAGAUGUGAAAGUCCACGGCUCAACCGUGGAAGUGCAUUUGAAACUGUAUUACUUGAGUACUGGAGGGGGUGGUGGAAUUCCCGGUGUAGGGUGAAAUUCGUAGAUAUCGGGAGGAAUACCGGUGGCGAAGGCGACCACCUGGCCAGAUACUGACGCUGAGGUGCGAAAGCGUGGGGAGAAACAGGAUUAGAUACCCUGGUAGUCCACGCCGUAAACGAUGUCAACUAGGUGUUGGGGCGGUUAAUCGUCUCAUUGCCGGACGUAACGCAUUAAGUUGACCGCCUGGGAGUACGUCGC